UUGAAUGAUAUUUCUGCAUUUCCGUAUGAAAAUUAUCUUGGAUCAGUUAAAAUAUGUGAAAAGUGCAAAAAACCCAAUUGUUCAAGUUGCUAAACGUAUACAAGAAAAAAGUUUUGUGGAAGUGAGUGACACAAAAGUAAAGCCUACAUUUAAUGUAGUAUCAGCACAGAAACGGAACAAUUGUUUUUUACUUUUAAAUGACUGCUAUGCAUUUAUACAGGAAAAACGCAAUAAUGGAACGAUGGUAUGUGAUGUUCUAAAACUAAGUCAAACUGAAAAUUACUUCACCAAACCAUGUGACUCUAAACUUGUCAACAUUGCAUUGGUAAAACCCCAUCAGCACAUGAGAAGAAGACUUGUGGAACCAACCGAGUUACGCAAGAAAGUAGUUUGCCUGCCAUUAGAGCAUGGUCGUCUGGUUCUCAUACCAAUGUUACACAGCCUGGAGAAAUAACAGCUGUUCAGAAUGUGGACCAGAGCUGCAUGGAAGGAAGGUGACAAGGAGGUGGAAUGUGUUAUUCCCAGUACCUGGGUCCAGAAUGGUAUGGUACUCUGGCCACCUGGGCCAGAUGCUACAAAGGCUUUGACAACUCGGGCAGAGCCAACAAAUGUUUGGAGAAAAUUUCCAGUUAUCAAAAUCAAAUUUCAAUCAGAAAACAAAACUGACUGUGAAAAUUAUGAUAAUACCACGAGUAUAGAAACCAGUGACGAGGAUGUAGAAAAAAGGCAGAGAAAGAAAAGGCAGUUUGAAGACUACAUUACUGGAACUGAUACCAGUGAGAGAAUGGUAAAUAAUCCUAAAAACAAAAAUGCGUCAAGUGGAGAUCUCCAGAAAAGUUCAAGUGGAAUAAGUCUUCCAAAGCAACCAAAGAAGGUGAAGAAAGUAGCAGAGGUUCCAUCAUCUACACAUAUCAGCAGGUCUAGGUCAAGGUCAUGCUCAAAUUCAGUAAGUCCACAAAAAAAACACAAGCAUAGCAGACACACUGCACUCAGGCACAAAUCACCAUCCAGCAAGUCACAUUCCAGGUCUAGGUCAAGGUCCAAGGCCAGAUCUGACACAGAUUUAUUGUCACACAAUGAAUCAUACAGGUCUCGGUCAAGUACAAGCCCUGGAGUAAUUGCAAACGUGCAGAUACCUACAUAUAGUCAAAUACAUGGCAGUAAGUCAAGGACAAUAUCCAACACGCAGGUAACUUCACACACCAAAGAAAAGUCAAGAUCAAAGUCCAGUUCCCAAUCCUCUGGUAAGCAUAAAAACACUGACUCACACAGUAAAACAAAAUCACACAGCCAAUCAUGGAUCAGACAGUCGAGGUCUAGGUCAAGUUCCAUGUCUAGAUUUUUAUGCUAUGAGUCGUCUCACAACAAAACGCAGGAGUCUAAAUCAAACUCCCAGUCACACGGCCAGUCAAGGACUAGGUCAAGGUCAAGUUCCAGAUCUAAUAACCAAUCAAGAUCUCAAAACAAAACACACAGGUCUAGGUCAAGGUCAAAAUCGCAUUCUAGAAGUCAACACAGCAAAGCACAUUCACACACUAAUUCACGUACCAGAAAAUCAGGGUCUAGGUCAGAUUCAGAGUCCAGAUUUCAUCGACACUCAAAGACACACAGCCAGUCCAGACCAAGUUCAUCGGCAGGAAGAAACAUGGGCACAUUGCACAACCAAUCACAUGGGUCAAGAUCCAGUUCAGCUUCAAAUACACACAGGUUAAACAGCACACAGUUACAGCCAGGCACACAUAGAUCAAGAACUCAUUCCAGGUCAAGGUCAAGGUCUCUUUCUUGGUCUCCAUUAUCACAAAACUCCCGCUUAGGCACUCCAGAACUAUUCAACAGUCCACUCCAUCAGAGCACACCAAAUCUAAAUACAGAAAGCAGACGUAGAAAAGAUGUCUUCCCAAUGCCUAAUGAAAGAUUUCAGAAACGUGUCCUCUAUUUAUUUGCUGAUCUAAAAGCUGAUAUAGCAGAGCUGAGGCGUGGCAGACGAUUAGGGGAAAGUGUAGUAGGUGCUGAAUAUUUUGUUACACAAGCUUCAACAAUGGAAGAAUUUAAUGCAGCAACUGACGGCAAUUGGAGGAAUGAAUGUAAAAGACAGUGUUAAGAAAAUAAUGGAAAGGCUGAUGACUAAUGAGCUGAUGGCACGCUUCAACAUGAAGGGAGGGAAACAGAAAAUGUCUUUUAAGAGCACUGCAGUCUGUGGACUAGUUACAGCCAGUGCUAUCAAAACUGGAAAAGAGGGUUUGACGGAGCAAGAGGU
rnacentral:misc_RNA from 1 species